rnacentral:rRNA from 1 species
AACGAACGCUGGCGGCAGGCCUAACACAUGCAAGUCGAACGCCCUAGCAAUAGGGAGUGGCAGACGGGUGAGUAACACGUGGGAACCUUCCCUAUAGUACGGAAUAGCUCAGGGAAACUUGAAGUAAUACCGUAUACGCCCGAGAGGGGAAAGAUUUAUCGCUAUAGGAUGGGCCCGCGUCGGAUUAGCUAGUUGGUGAGGUAAUGGCUCACCAAGGCGACGAUCCGUAGCUGGUUUGAGAGAACGACCAGCCACACUGGGACUGAGACACGGCCCAGACUCCUACGGGAGGCAGCAGUGGGGAAUAUUGGACAAUGGGCGCAAGCCUGAUCCAGCCAUGCCGCGUGAGUGAUGAAGGCCUUAGGGUUGUAAAGCUCUUUUAGCAGGAAGAUAAUGACUGUACCUGCAGAAUAAGACUCCGGCUAACUUCGUGCCAGCAGCCGCGGUAAU